UACGUAGGGUGCGAGCGUUGUCCGGAAUUAUUGGGCGUAAAGGGCUCGUAGGCGGUCUGUCACGUCGGGAGUGAAAACUCAGGGCUUAACCCUGAGCCUGCUUCCGAUACGGGCAGACUAGAGGUAUGCAGGGGAGAACGAAUUCCUGGUGUAGCGGUGAAAUGCGCAGAUAUCUGGAGGAACACCGGUGGCGAAGGCGGCAUCCUGGAC
rnacentral:rRNA from 1 species